rnacentral:rRNA from 1 species
AGGAAAAGAAACCAACAGGGAUUGCCUUAGUAGCGGCGAGUGAAGCGGCAAGAGCUCAAAUUUGAAAUCUGGUACUUUCAGUAUCCGAGUUGUAAUUUGAAGAAAGUUAUCUUGGAGUUGGCCCUUGUCUAUGUUCCUUGGAACAGGACGUCACAGAGGGUGAGAAUCCCGUGCGAUGGGGUGCCCAUUCUAUGUAAGAUACUUUCGACGAGUCGAGUUGUUUGGGAAUGCAGCUCUAAGUGGGUGGUAAAUUCCAUCUAAAGCUAAAUAUUGGCGAGAGACCGAUAGCGAACAAGUACAGUGAUGGAAAGAUGAAAAGAACUUUGAAAAGAGAGUGAAAAAGUACGUGAAAUUGUUGAAAGGGAAGGGUAUUUGAUCAGACUGAUAUUCAGUUAACACUGUUCCUUGUGGAUGGUGCUCUAGCUUUUUAUUGGGCCAGCAUCAGUUUAGGUGGCAGGAUAAGAACUGUUGAACGUGGCUCUUCGGAGUGUUAUAGCUUCAGUUGAUACUGCCUAUCUAGACUGAGGUCUGCGGC